GAUGAAGAACGUAGUGAAAUGCGAUAAGUAAUGUGAAUUGCAGAAUUCAGUGAAUCAUCGAAUCUUUGAACGCACCUUGCACCCUUUGGCAUUCCGAAGGGUAUGCUCGUUUGAGUGUCAUUGUACUCUCACACUUCUGAUCCUUUGGAUUGGGAGCGGUGGACUUGGGUGUUGCUGCUUUACUGUGGCUCACCUCAAAUGCAUUCGUGCAACUCUUGGUUGGACAUAGUACGGCGUGAUAAGUAUCUUCGCCGGCACCUCGCAAGAGGGUGGCUGAUCAGGAGCUCUGUGCUUUCCAACUGUCUUCAGACAAAAACUGACAACUUGACCUCAAAUCGAGUAGGACCACCCGCUGAACUUAAGCAUAUCAAUAAGCGGAGGA
rnacentral:misc_RNA from 1 species